rnacentral:rRNA from 1 species
UAACGCGAAGAACCUUACCUGGGUUUGACAUAUGCCGGAAAGCUCCAGAGAUGGGGCCUCUUUUAGUCGGUAUACAGGUGGUGCAUGGCUGUCGUCAGCUCGUGUCGUGAGAUGUUGGGUUAAGUCCCGCAACGAGCGCAACCCUCGUCCUAUGUUGCCAGCACGCCCUUCGGGGUGGUGGGGACUCAUAGGAGACUGCCGGGGUCAACUCGGAGGAAGGUGGGGAUGACGUCAAGUCAUCAUGCCCCUUAUGUCCAGGGCUUCACGCAUGCUACAAUGGCCGGUACAAAGGGCUGCGAUGCUGCAAGGCGGAGCGAAUCCCAAAAAGCCGGUCUCAGUUCGGAUUGGGGUCUGCAACUCGACCCCAUGAAGUCGGAGUCGCUAGUAAUCGCAGAUCAGCAACGCUGCGGUGAAUACGUUCCCGGGUCUUGUACACACCGA